rnacentral:rRNA from 1 species
UACGAAGGUCCCAAGCGUUAUCCGGAUUUAUUGGGCUUAAAGGGUGCGUAGGCGGGCUAUUAAGUCAGUGGUGAAAGCCUCAAGCUUAACUUGAGAAUUGCCAUUGAUACUGAUGACCUUGAGUACAUUUGAAGUGGGCGGAAUGUGUCAUGUAGCGGUGAAAUGCUUAGAUAUGACACAGAACACCGAUUGCGUAGGCAGCUCACUAAACUGUUACUGACGCUGAGGCACGAAAGCGUGGGGAGCAAACAGG